rnacentral:rRNA from 1 species
CCUACGGGAGGCAGCAGUGAGGAAUAUUGGACAAUGGGCGCAAGCCUGAUCCAGCCAUGCCGCGUGCAGGAAGAAGCAUCUAUGGUGUGUAAACUGCUUUUGUACAGGAAGAAACACUCCCUCGUGAGGGAGCUUGACGGUACUGUAAGAAUAAGGAUCGGCUAACUCCGUGCCAGCAGCCGCGGUAAUACGGAGGAUCCAAGCGUUAUCCGGAAUCAUUGGGUUUAAAGGGUCCGUAGGCGGUUUGGUAAGUCAGUGGUGAAAGCCCAUCGCUCAACGGUGGAACGGCCAUUGAUACUGCUAGACUUGAAUUAUUGUGAAGUAACUAGAAUAUGUAGUGUAGCGGUGAAAUGCUUAGAGAUUACAUGGAAUACCAAUUGCGAAGGCAGGUUACUAACAAUAUAUUGACGCUGAUGGACGAAAGCGUGGGGAGCGAACAGGAUUAGAUACCCUGGUAGUCCACGCCGUAAACGAUGGAUACUAGCUGUUGGGAGUAAUCUCAGUGGCUAAGCGAAAGUGAUAAGUAUCCCACCUGGGGAGUACGUUCGCAAGAAUGAAACUUAAAGGAAUUGACCGGNUGAGAGAGCGAGACGACGACGAGGGAGAGG